CCAGUUGUUUGUAUUUCCAUUGUUUCCUUUUUUCUUGUGUGCACCUACCUUUGCACAUGUGUUUUUUUCCAUGGUGGUAGGCUCUGUUUCCCCUUUCUUAUCUUUCGUGAACCUAGUCUAGAUUUUCACUAGGUGAUUACAAUGAGGGUUGUAUAGAAAUCUCAUAAGGAAAACAGUCCAUUUUAAGCUCAUAGCAGCUUGACUUCCAUUUUCUACAAAAACUGGACCCUUCUACUCUUCUGUUUUACAUUGUUAUGUUAUUUUUGCCUCUUUUUAUAUUCUGUAUUCUUUAGCAAAUUAUAGUAGCUAUAAUUAUAUAAUACUCCUCACUUUUAGUCUUUAUACUACAAUUUAGUGGUUAGCACACCAUCCUAUUACAGAAUUAGUCUUUUCAGUCUGCCUUUAUAUUUACCUUUAUCACUGUGCUGUAUUCUUUUGUAUGUUUUCAUGUUGCUGAUUAGUGUCUUUUCACUUCAGCUCAAAAAACUCCUUUCAGCAGUUUUUAGAAGGAAGAUGUAGUGGUGAUGAACAAUCUCAGCUUUUGUUUUUCUGGGAAACUCUUUACUUUCCCUUCAUAUAUGAAGUAUAACUUUGCCUGAUAGAGUAUUCUUGACUGGCAGUUUAUUCUUUCAACACUAAGUAUGUCAUUUCACUUUGUCCUGGUCUGUGGGAUGUGGCUGAGAAAACUCCUGGUAACUUAAUGGGGGUUCCUCUGUAGGUUACCAUCAUUUUUCCCUAGUUGCUUUUGGGAUUUUGUGUUUAUCUUUGAUUUUUAAAAGUUUAAUUAUAAUAUGUCUUGGAGAAAGUCUUUUGGCAUGAAAUAAUUGGGUGGUCUAUAAGCUUUGUGAGCUUGGCUGUCCAAGUGUCUCCGGGUUUGAGAAGUCUGUAGUAUUAUUCCCUAAAUAAAUUUUCAUCUGCCUUCUUCCUCUUUUUUCCUUUCAAACUUCAAUUCUUUUAAUUUUGUUUUGAUGAAAUCCCAUAGAUUGUAUAGGCUUUCUUUGCUCUAUUGUCUUUCUUUUUUUCUUUGCCUUGCUCUGACUGGGUUAUUUCAAACUUCUUGUCUUCUAGCUCACUUAUUUGUCUUCAGUUUUCUUUACUGCAAAUGCUCUUUAUUGCAUUUUUCAUUUCAUUCAUUGAAUUCUUCAGUGCCAGAAAUUGUUUCUUUUUUAUAGUUUUGGUUUAUUUAGUACAUAUAUAUAUAUAUGUGUGUGUGUGUGUGUGUUUUAUCAUUUUGUUCAUUUUUUUCUCCUAACCUCAUUAUUGUCUUUUUAGUUACCUUGUAGUUCAUUGAGAUUCUUCAAAAAGCUAUUUUGAAUUCUUUAUUAGCUUGGUCACAAAAUUAUGUACCUUUAAACUUCUGAAAUUGGAGAUUAUGGUCAUCUUUAGGUGACAACAUAUUUCCUUGAUAUUUCAUAUUUCUUGUAGGUUUUGGUUGCUGCUUUUACAUUUGAAUUAAAAAAGACCUCCUAAAAUCUUUACUAAUUGCCUUCCUAUGGGGUUUACUGUCACUGGUGGUGUUAUAUCUGAGAUUUUCUCUGACUUUAUAUGGGUGAAUGUGCUCCACUCUGCUUGCUACCAUGGUUGGCAGAAUUUUUAGGCUAUUGUGUCUUCCUCGUUACAAUUCACGAGGAUGGCUACUGGAAACCUCUUAUUUGUUUUCUCAAAGCUAGUGCUAUAGCUCAUGUUGUGUGUUUCUCUCUUGCCAUAGACCCAGGUUUAUUUUUCUGAGACCACCCAGUUUACCAGCUUUGUUGUCACUGCUUCCCUUAGAAAUAUUCACAAGAAGCCAGUUGCAGAGUGGGGAGAGGUGUGGGUUUGGCACUGGGGCCUUGUGGUUCCCACUGAUCUGGGGGGAGAUUCUUGGGUGAGGUACUCCUGGAGGCUCACGGAGGAUUUCAGCUGAAAUCCUGAGUGCAGUAGGCAGGAACUAUGCUCAUUUAAUGUCUUUUGAUAUUAUCAUUUGUUUAUUUCCUGAUCUUCCCCCUCCCUCCAUCACCAACUACCUGUCUCAGUGCCUAGGUUCUUUUUAGAGACACAGAUUUCUCCAGCUGUGUCCAACACUACUGAAGUGGCUGGGCACUCACUCACUGUUCUUUUCCCCUGUGGCAUAGUUCACCACCGUUGAAUAUUUCAGACUGUGCAUUGUUGCCUUGAAUGAGUGGUCCUUGGAAUGCUCCUCUCACCUUCCCCACUGUGACCAACUCAUGCUUCUUUUCUGUUCCAAUAGUUCACUGUACUCCACUCUCAAGAAGGCUGGGGUUCCACAAAGUCUCUCUCAUUCAUGGGUGUCUGCCAAAGACAGCACUCUCCAGACUUUACCUGAUCAUAACCCAGAUGGACUUAGUACAUAGUUGUAUAUUUCAGUUGUGGGUCCUUCCAGUUGUGGCACGUGGGACGCCACCUCAACGUGGCCUGAUGAGUGGUGCCACGUCCAUGCCCAGGAUCCAAACCAGCAAAAGCCUGGGCUGCCACAUCGGAGUGCACAAACUUAACCACUCGGCCAGAGGGCUGGCCCCUAGAGGAGAAUUUAAAUAGUAAGCUUCACAUAUAUUACAUUAGUAUUUAUACAAUACUCUACACUUCAUAUAGUUAAAUUGCAUGGAUGUGAUUUUUUUCUAUUACCAUAUGAAGUUGGCAGUUGAGAAAUUAUCCACAUUUUACAGAUAGAAGCUUUGAGCAUAUUGAGGUCUUCCAUGUUCUUCCCAGAGUAGCCACAAUUCAUCUUAAGUCUCACAAAAUUUAAUUUGUGGAGCAUAGAUGCUUCUUAUUGACCAGAAACAUGCUCUCCAUGGUUUGAAUGGGUGCCCUAAUUCUAUACUUUUGGUGUUAUAUUUUUAAAAACAUCUUAAGAAUCUGUUCAAUUUAAAAGAUUAAUCUAUUACAGUUCUUACUUGUGGGAAUAUCUGACUACUAACCUAUUAGGAAGAGUUAAAUUAAAUAAUUAACUCAUUGCCCCACCCACCACUCUCUCUCUAGAAUUAAUAUUAACUGAAAUAGAGCAAACCAAGAAUGAGACCUUCCUAAAACAUCUCUGUUUCCCUAGUAAUGGCAGGGUAGAUGAUCUCCACCAAAAAAAAAAAAAAAAAAGACAAGAAACGUUUGUGAGAAUGAUCUUAAACAGAUAUUUUUUAAUGAAGGAUUAGUAAUGCAGCAUAAUAUGUUGUAAAGAACUCCAAUUCAGAACACACAAAUUAAACCUGCUAUUAAUGGGAGGCAUGCUGUGUACCUCACAGGCUAA
rnacentral:lncRNA from 1 species